ensembl:lncRNA
UAUCUGUUGAUUUAUGUAUUUUUUUUAUUUUUGAUCUUUGUUUUAACUAUUGUUUUACCUCUGCUCGACUGUAGUGUCAUUCAGGAUAGCAGGUGAUGUUAUAGUUAUAGUGAAAGUGCAGUUAAGGUUAAGCGAUAAAAACAUUAGAUGAAAACAGUCAAAACAAUGACGUGUAUGUGUGGUGUGUGUUUCUGAUGCUGUACUGACGGGGGGAAUUAAUGGUGACCCGUGAAACCUAUAUACUAAAUGGGGACUAGUCAAGAUGGUGGGCAGGUUGGAGUAGGUUGUUUUGGGUUGUUCAGUCUUGCACAGCCAGGUGUAUAUUAACCUAUCCGUCUGGAGACAACUGUGGUGACAUGGGGACUACAUGUGGGAGCAUUAAUAGCAUUUCAACCUUUUGAGCCAACCCAAACAUUACCUGAAGGCUGGGCUCAAAGGAGAGUGAAAGUCCGGCUAGAAGCAGAGGGCAGUAUGGAAGUUAGUGCCCGUGGUGGCUUGGGAUUCUCGUAGCACUGAAACGGCAACCUCAUUCAUCCUUCUGGACGUGACGUAAAAGUUAGUGUGUGUGUGUGUGUGUGUGUGUGUGUGUGUGUGUGUGUGUGUGUGCCGGCAGACGUGUGAGACUGUAGGAUGCUAAAAGCCUGGCUAAAAGUAGAGGGCAGUAUGGAAGAUAUUACUCAUAAAGCCGAUGGGAUCGUCUCCAGGCUGUGAAACCUCCUUGCGGUAGUGCCAAAGGCAUGUAUGGAUUGGCAGGAUUACAUGGUGAUUGACAGCCGAGGUUUACCAAUUUACGGCUUAUGCGUUUAUAGGGUUAAGAUCUUUGAGUGCUGAGAUUGUCUGCUACGCCAAUCCCUCGUCACAGAACCAGCUUUUUGGGGAGGAUUACGGGGUUCUUAGAUUGACCUGAAUGAGAACCUCUCAGAGAGUCUAAGGAACACUCUUGGAAGGAGGAGCCCUUUUCGGAAGUCUUUUGGGACACCAGCUAAAGUCCUGUGUGGAAUCUUGGCCCUCUGAAGAACCUUGGGCUGGCUUUAAAAAAUGCUCUACCGGUUGUAAACAGAGCAGGGAAAGACAUUUCUAUGUGGAUAAAAAAAACAGCCGAAAAAAAGAAAAUGGAUGAAUGGAUGGAUGGAUAGAUGGUUGAAUGAAUGAAUGAAUGAAUGAAUAAAAGAAUGAAUGGUUUUGCCCAGUCUCAGGCACACUGUGUGAACACACUCAAGAAUAGGAGCAGCAUCUGGAACAGCUUGGCCGUAUGCCAGUGAUGGCAAGUGUGACGCUUGGGAUUCUCGUGGCUGUGAGAUAAUGGAACCACAAACUCAUUCAUCCUUCUGGACGUGCAUGCAGCCGUGUCUGUGUGUGUGUGUGUGUGUGUGUGUGUGUGUGUGUGUGUGUGUGUGUGUAUAUGCGUGCAGGCGUGUUUUUGUGCGCGUGUGUGUGUGUGUGUGUGUGUGCAUGCAGGCAUGGGUGUGUGUGUGUGUGUGAUUGCAACCCUCUGGCCAUGGUGGUGUACAGUAAGCCACUUGAUCCAGCGAUGUAACAACUAUGCUCUUGAUCUGCAAAUCGUCUUUCCACCAGCAAACACCGCUCCAUUUUGGCUAUGUCUCGAGAACUCUCAGGAAUGUCUUUGGUCGUGCAGAAUCACCUGCCGUGGUCCACACGCGUCCCCUCCUCUCCUCUGACAGUGUCUGUUGCCAUGCCGCUAAACCACCUCAGUAGUAUUGUAUUUUUUGCAAUAUGAUAGCAACUUUCACUCGGAGAACACCUCAGUGUCUGAAUCUGACUUACAUGUGUGUGUGUGUGUGUGUGUCUGUGUGUGUGUCUGUUUAGACUCUACCUAGCUGUUACAGUUGUAGCUCUCUGUGUUACAUACGGAUGAGGUCAGUGUUGUUUCGACAUGGAUGUAACGGUAAUGUUAUUUUUAGUUUACAGACAGAGGAUGGCGCGAGUAGGAGAGCAGCAGAGCUUGCAUUCACAGUGUCUAUGGUAGUCUUUCACCUCUCUCCUCUUUGUAUGGAAUGUGAUGGUCCUUACCUGUGAUUGACAGCUUCACACCUCAGUAACAGGUGUCUAUAUAUAUCUCACUUUUUAUAUCCAGGUAAAUUUUUUUUUUUUUUUGAAUAAUAUUUGUACAGUGUCUUUGUGACAAUGACUUUGUAACAAAAACAAAUGAGGAGGAAAACAAACAAAAAAUGAAUGCGAAUGAUUGAUUGAUUCAUGGAAGGAUGUCAUUGAGUCAAACAGUGGGUGUAAUUUGGAGUGGUUCCCCUGGUGUGUACAGUCUGUUCACUUACGUUGCCAUGGUUUCAGAGCAGAAGUUAAGUGAUGAAUGUGUCUUCAUUGCAAUACUGUUACUUACAACACAGCUCAGACACUCACACACCCACGCACACAAACAUACAUACACACAUGCACGCACACACACACACACACACACACACCCAGCAGCCUGUGCAAACUUCUAUGAUGUAAAUAAAGAGAUGAUGAUGAUGAU